UUUCCGUAGGUGAACCUGCGGAAGGAUCAUUAAUGAAUUCACUAUGUAGUUGUUGCUGGCCUCUAGGGGCAUGUGCACGCUUCACUAGUCUUUCAACCACCUGUGAACUUUUGAUAGAUCUGUGAAGUCGUCUUUCAAGUCGUCAGACUUGGUUUGCUGGGAUUUAAACGUCUCGGUGUGACAACGCAGUCUAUUUACUUAACACACCCCAAAUGUAUGUCUACGAAUGUCAUUUAAUGGGCCUUGUGCCUAUAAACCAUAAUACAACUUUCAACAACGGAUCUCUUGGCUCUCGCAUCGAUGAAGAACGCAGCGAAAUGCGAUAAGUAAUGUGAAUUGCAGAAUUCAGUGAAUCAUCGAAUCUUUGAACGCACCUUGCGCCCCUUGGUAUUCCGAGGGGCAUGCCUGUUUGAGUGUCAUUAAAUUCUCAAACUCACUCUGGUUUUUUCCAAUUGUGAUGUUUGGAUUGUUGGGGGCUGCUGGCCUUGACAGGUCGGCUCCUCUUAAAUGCAUUAGCAGGACUUCUCAUUGCCUCUGCGCAUGAUGUGAUAAUUAUCACUCAUCAAUAGCACGCAUGAAUAGAGUCCAGCUCUCUAAUCGUCCGCAAGGACAAUUUGACAAUUUGACCUCAAAUCAGGUAGGACUACCCGCUGAACUUAA
rnacentral:rRNA from 1 species